rnacentral:tRNA from 1 species
UCCCUGGUGGCUCAGAUGGUAAAGAAUCUGCUUCUAAUGCAGGAGAUGUGGGUUCAGUCUCCUUUCCGGAGAA